ensembl:miRNA
GGGCCUGGUCAUGGUCAAGCCAGGUUCCAUCAAGCCCCACCAGAAGGUGGAGGCCCAGGUGAGGGCUCCAGGUGAUGGUGGGCAGGGCU